GCACUACUGAGGAGUCCCACAAUAGGACGAAACGAUAUUUUAGUGC
rnacentral:hammerhead_ribozyme from 1 species